GUCUACCAAAGGUGGCUGCGGCUGACAGUUCGCGCCUUCAUUUUAUAGUUGCACGUAAUGAGGUGCACAUUAAUUUAUUGUUUAUUUAUCAUUUAUUAUUUUUCAUCUGUUGUAUUUGCAUAUUUAUUACAUAUCGUUGCGUUAAUGGGAACUAAAAUAAGUGUCGUGACCUUAAUACAACUCUUCUUUGAUCUCUCAAUUACUUCGGCUAACAAGUUGAUCGAAAAAAUAAUCAUUUUGUCUCGACGCACUUGCACAAUUACCUAUUCGAUCGCUUCAAGAGACAAUACAGUACAUAGAAAGAGAACACUAUUUACUCGUGGAUUUUUUUUUGUAUUUUUAAAUUGCUGUCAAUGGCUAUUAGUGAGAGUGAGAGAUACAAGAGGAACGCCGUAAAGAGGAAACCGGAAGUGGAGGCGGACCAAUUUGAUGAUCGAUCUAGUAAUGAAUCGUUAAAAGAGCACGCUGUUUCAGAUGCAUUUUCUACCAGCACCUAUAAUAUCAUGGAUGCAUAUAUAUUUUUACAACUCUUCAACAAUUUAUCAUGGGAUCCAAUCAUCAUAUAGACGAAACUGGUUUUCACAAUGAUUUGCCAGAUAGAUUUAAUUCUGAGAUCAUUGUGAAAGCUGAUUUUGUUCGCCAGACAACUAGGAUCAACUUCAGCAUC